rnacentral:rRNA from 1 species
GACGAACGCUGGCGGCGUGCUUAACACAUGCGAGUCGAACGGAAAGGCCCCUUUGGGGGUACUCGAGUGGCGAACGGGUGAGUAACACGUGAGUAACCUGCCCUUGACUUCGGGAUAACUUCAGGAAACUGGGGCUAAUACCGGAUAGGAAUCCUUGCUGCAUGGUGGGGGUUGGAAAGCUUCGGCGGUUUUGGAUGGACUCGCGGCUUAUCAGCUUGUUGGUGGGGUAGUGGCUUACCAAGGCUUUGACGGGUAGCCGGCCUGAGAGGGCGACCGGCCACAUUGGGACUGAGAUACGGCCCAGACUCCUACGGGAGGCAGCAGUGGGGAAUAUUGCUCAAUGGGCGGAAGCCUGAUGCAGCAACGCCGCGUGCGGGAUGACGGCCUUCGGGUUAUAAACCGCUUUCAGCAGGGGCGAAGCUUGUGGUGACGGUACCUGCAGAAGAAGCACCGGCUAACUACGUG